GAGUUUGAUCUUGGCUCAGAACGAACGCUGGCGGCAGGCCUCAAACAUGCAAGUCUAGGGGUGUAGCAAUACAUCACCGGCGGACGGGUGCGUAACACGUGGGAAUGUACCUAUUGGUUCGGAACAACGCAGGGAAACUUGCGCUAAUACCGAAUGUGCCCUUCGGGGGAAAGAUUUAUCGCCAAUGGAUCAGCCCGCGUCCGAUUAGCUAGUUGGUGAGGUAACGGCUCACCAAGGCGACGAUCGGUAGCUGUUCUGAGAGGAAGAUCAGCCACACUGGGACUGAGACACGGCCCAGACUCCUACGGGAGGCAGCAGUUGGGAAUCUUGGACAAUGGGGGAAACCCUGAUCCAGCCAUGCCGCGUGAGUGAUGAAGGCCUUAGGGUUGUAAAGCUCUUUCGCACGCGACGAUGACGACGGUAGCGUGAGAAGAAGCCCCGGCU
rnacentral:rRNA from 1 species